UUAAUAUGCCGUAAUAAAAAUAACAUCUGAAUGAGUCAGGACCGGAAGGUAGCAGCUAUAAGGAAAUGUGUUUUGUAUUACGGUUUUUUAUUUGGA
rfam:Mycoplasma putrefaciens Mput9231, complete genome.